AAAUCUGUAUUUCUCUCUGUCUUAUUUGGCUUUCUUUUUUUCAAUCAGGACAAUUACUCCGAAACUGAAAAUGUUGAUCAAUAGGGAGUCUGGAAUUGGACUGGUCAUGUGAUUUAGAGAACCAAUAGGAAUUAGGAAUUGUCAGAAUUUGAGAAAGUCGAGAAAGCACAGCUGAACUUCUAUAUCUACACAGUCGGAACUAGUCGAAUAGUCUCUCUCCCUCUCCACUAUACAGGCGUAUGCACUCGGUUACAGUAUACACUGGACAGAGUAUACUUGCUUUCUCAAAAUUGAGAUCAUUUUCAACAUUCUUUAUUUAAAAAAAUGAAAACUGAGGAUGAAGAUGGGCAAAGUAUGCUGUUUUUAGCUAGUGACCUAAAAACAAAAAGCAACAGUCAAAAUGACGAGAUAUUUGAAGUCCAAGAACUUGUGGACCAAGUACAAAAUUCCGAGACAAAUGCCGACUGGUACGCUGUCAGAAAUCACAUCGCUUUCCGAGCUGAGAAGAGUUUGGGUCACAUAGCCUGGGGUUGGGAGGAGGCUGAUGUAUAUUUGAUCAGUGAAUGCUGCAUUCUUCUCCCAGACAUGAAAACUAAACCAAAGCUGGGACACAAAAGUCGAGUGAGUGUGUGUAAUCGAUGUGAUGCAUAUCAGAAGACAGAUGUCUUUAGUGUCAGACACCUGCUGCUAAAGCAUCUGCAGUGGCCGACGAAGUGUGGACGAUGCAGAAAACCAAUGGUUGGAAGUAUUACCAAUCAUGAAUGUGCUCAGAGGUGUCCUAUGCAAUGUCUCCUACUACACAGUAAACGGGAACUAGUCCAACAUAUGUACAUGAAACAUGGGAAAUUCUACUGUGAACUUUGUGAGAAGAUCUUCACUGACCUUAGAGAGAUGAAGAAACACAUGGCGGAAGAAAAUCUUCUCUUGGUUCAAUCCUGUAUUUUGUGCAAAGAACAGUUUGGCGAGGACGGGAAAGACGGUAGACUCAUGAAGGAACAUUUGCUGCUGUGUCAUGAUGGUUUUGAAGAUGAAAUUUCUGGAUAUGAAGCAGCCAAGCUCUCUAAUCCUGAAAUUAUUAAAGAAAUAUACCUCAGAUACAAACCCUCAAAGACUGAAACAUACCAAUUCGACAACUUCCAGUGUCCUCACUGCCAGCGAUUAUUUUCUGCGCGUGCUGGGCUUAAAAUUCAUGUUGGCAUUGCGCAUCGAGGUGUGGGCAUCGUCUUCUGCCCACGCUGCCCAUUUACUUUUAAAAAUGUUGACGAUUGCAAAGUCCACUUGAAGAAGGGACAUUCUGUGAAGAAAAGUUAUAUAAAGAAACCGCAAUCAGCAAAGUCUGACACUGUUAAGAAGAGUGCAGUUCCCAACAAUGUUCCAAUUUGUAAUCCUUCAUCAUCAAAUAGUGAAGCAACCAACAGUAUCAUUACUUAUAUCAAGGAAGAGAACAAUAUUUCUCAAGAGAAUGUUACGGAACAAGUAAUUGAAAAUAACACAGACGCUCAAGAAACCCAAGUCCAGAUCAAGACGGAAAAUAUGCAAGUGGACGGUCUUGGCGAGGUAGAAAAGGAAAUAGUGAUCGAGGAAGAAACUUUUGAAUUAAAAACAGAAAUUGUUGAACCAGCAUUGCCUUCUACAGUCGAAACCAAGAAAAAAGUUAAGAAACCGUUACCAGGUCUUCUGAAAAUCACAUUUUCAGAUACAUCCUUGCCUGUAAAGCAACCACAGCCACCUGUUCUUCAAAACACAAAAUCAAGUAUAGGAUUAAAACGAAAAGCUGAUGAAGAGAAAUUGAUUCAGAAAGAACCUUCUACGCCAAAGUUUGUUAAUAUUUCAACCAAGUUAAAAGAACUACAAUUGAAGAUGAAAGUAGGAGAGCAGAGACAACUUAAGCCUAUUCUCCCCAAACCAGUUGUGUCUAUUGCUGGUGUUCCCAAGAUGCCGUUGUCGGGUACUGUUUCAAUGGAGAUGAGUAAAGCUGAAUCCAAGACGUUUAUUCCCGUGGUUGGCCCAGACGGAAAAACUAUGCUGAUUGAUGUUUUUAAAGCAAAGGAUGGUAUCUCUAGUGGGUCUAUCAAGUUCCUUCCAAACAAUCAACAUCAGAGCAAACCGGUUUUCUCAGAAUCGAUUUUGUCCCCUGUGAUAGCUUCCACAUCAUCCCUUCUGACUGGUUCUCCAUUAUCCUCCACAGGCCAAACUAUAACAGGACAAAUUACAAACUCACCUACCCUCGCUCUCAGGAUUGUCAGCUCAGCUAGCCAUGUGGGUCAAACUCUCAAUACAGUCAGCCAUGCUGGUGAAACCCGAGUCGGACAGAGUGCGCGUAUAAAAGUUGGGAAAGAAUUGAAGCGAUCUGAAAUUUUUGCGCAACGACAAUCUCUUCUAAUAAGUAACCAAGUAGAUCCUCUGGACACCACAGAUAUGAUGAACCCUGAUGCAGUAUCUUUAGAAAAUACAAGUUGUAUUAUGAGAGAUAAAGUUGCUUUAAAUCUUCCUGUUGUUCUUACAAAGAGAACCAAUAAGAAGAUGGCCCAGGACAAUCCGUUCUUCAAAAUCAGCAUGAUCGGAUCAGAUGUGACUGGAACUUGUAGAGUUUGUCAAGAUUUUACACAAACCUUUAAUCAAAGCUCGUUACUUGAGAAACAUUUUAAAGAAACUCAUCAGCAGAUGAUCUACAUUAAAAGAUUUGUUCUGUAUUACGAGAUCAGUUUUAAACAGAGUGCUAGGUCAAGAAAAAAAUUCUUUCUUUGCUUCUACUGCGGAAAGGAGUUCACUACCAAGUUCAAUGUAAGACGACAUCAAAUGUUGUAUUGUCCACACAAGCAAGAAAUAGACCCACGUCUGCUUGGCUUGGGUCCUCAGGAUUGUGCUAAGGCAGCUGAGCUGGAGUGGAAGAAGAAGGAGAUAAUUAAGACAGGAGGGAAGUGUAUAGAGGUAGUGGAUGACGAGGAGGAAGAGGAGGAGGUCGAGAUACUCGAGGAUGAGACCACGGUCAGGGUUAAUGUGAACGAGGACAACGAUGGGCUUGAGUUCUUGGAGCUUGAAAAUUUGGAGGAAAACGACCCUCUUGGACCUUGAAAAAAUCCUCAAAAUAAAGAUGAUGGACGAAAUAUGGCGGAAAAAUUCAUGAAUAAGAUGGCUCAAAUGUACAAAAAAAACUUAUUUAGUGGUCUUUGUUAAUGAAAUAUGUUUGUGCUGGUUUUAACAAAAUCCAUUUUACUGCAUAUGCAAUCAUUUGUUGUGACUAAAAACAAUAUCACGAAGAUCUGAGUGCAAUUAUUUAUGUUAGUGACUAAAAACAUUUUUAAUAUUUUAUUAAAUUUUUUGUUUUAAUGUCUAAGUGAACUUUUUCAGAAACGGCUAAAAUCACCUUAAAACUGAUUUUCGUUCAAAAAUUAUUUAUCACGUAAAAGUGUGCGCGUUCCCAGAAUAAUAAAUUUACAUUUUUGUGAUGUACUUAUUUUCCUAAUGUUUUUUUACAUAUUUAGAUUUGUUUAGCUUGUUAUUUAAGUUCUGUUAUAUUUCUAAUGAACAGUACAGACAAUAAAUCUAAUUAAACUUAAA
rnacentral:misc_RNA from 1 species